GGCUUUGCUCUGGGGCUGCACUGUCCCCCAUAGAAGUGACAGUGGAAGGGGGAUAGCUGGGCAGUGCUGACCUCUUCUCGCUAAAAAACAUGAUGCUGAGGGAGCUGGGGCCCUCUGAGGUCUGGUGGAGACCCCUGAUAAGGUCCAAACCAGCAGCUGCAUGUAGGGAGGCCCAGGAGAAGAGGAAAGGACUCCUGGAGCCACGUGUCAUGCAGACUCUAGAAGCUGGGGCUUGAAGAAAAGCAAAAGUGUCCAGUGUCAUGAGCUUCAGGAGAGGCAGAGCAGCUCUUUCACAGAGUUAGUGUCUCACUGAAGGAGACUUUCUUUAAUAGGCUGGAGACAAGCUAUUCUAGCUACAUCAGGUGAACUGGGUGCUUUGCCUUCAUGGACAUCUGUGGCCCGUUGGGGACUCUGUGCCACAUCCCUCCACAAAACACCCGGGAAUGUGGAGUGGCUGGACAAUAUAAACCGUCUCACCCAGUUCAUUCCCUGUUACCCAGGAUGGAAAACAUUCAUCUUCAGAGCGAGAGACUGGAGCCAGAGGCAGCUUCAUACCUCUCCAACGUGAUUAGCAAAGCGGACAUGAAUUGAUUCAUUAAAGCUGAGCAACCGCAGACAAGCACUUCAUUACAAAAGACCUGGGAAAUGCCAUAGCUGGGCAGGCCAGAGACAUUCCCGUGCCUGCCCAUCCCCUCCCCCUGCCAGCAGAGCCACUGUCUGCAAAACCCAAUGACCUUCUGCUCGCUUGCUCCCCAACUCCUGCUGCUUCGCUGCAAGGCAAAAGCACCGUGCGACGCGCGGAGAACUGGGAGCUUACCUCCUCCUUCCCCUCCGCGGGGGGCACCGGUUCAAAGCCGAGCUCUCGCUGUCCAGCCCCGGCCGCUUGCAAAAGGGAAACGACAGGGGAAGGAUCCCACGCGGCCGCGAGGGCUGCGGCGCUCCGUCACGAGCGGCCUUCGUUCCUGCCCUCGGCAGAGCGGGCAGGCUGGCCGGGCCGCGGGGGCGAGCAGGGCGACGCCGGGGCCGGGCUGGCGGCGAGGAACAGGAAUUACACUUGUUAUUAUUUCCUUGAUUUAUACAGUCUGGAUAAAAGGUAUCUGUCUGUACAGAGAAACGCUCUACAUUGCUGUAGUGCUGUAAUAGCAGUAUAUAUAUACACAUAUACUCGUUACUGAACUUUGAACGUUUUACUUAUAAAUAAUAAUACUUUUACUCACAUAUAUAGUAAGAGCCAGUGUUUUUCUUUCUCUGUUCAGAUCUGAGCGCCCAAUCAGCAUUUUGCCGUUUUCACAGCCACUCCAACAUCCCCUUCUCGGCUUCUUCCCCAGCAGCCUCCCGUCACAUCUCACCCCUCACCAGUGUGUCCAUGCUCUCUGCGCUCCCGUUGCCCAUGUUCACCUCGGUGUGUUUGCAGGUGCUACACAGAUCAUGAUGUUAUGCUCUAUUGCCUGGGAAAAUCUUUUUUUUUUUUUUUUUUUGUCUUUUUUUUGAGUCCCAGGUCCUUGAAAUCUGUUUGCAAAUCCUGUAAAAUUUAAUCUGUGGCAAACUAGGAGGAUUUUUGCUCGGAUAAAAUUGGAUUUAACCUGUUGUUUCCUUUAUCAGCUGUUCUGGAAAGAACACCAGAUUGAAACGGAGUCAGGCACUUGGCAACUGCUCCUCUCCUCCCCAUAUUUCAGCUCUAGCAUCAAUGACUUGCUGCCUGUCUGUUCAGUCCCUACUAGCUCUGUUUGGAUUUGCAUGCCACUGACUAUUAAUUGAAGAGUAAAUUAACCUUCUUCAGACCGUAUGUUGUGGCCAUAAUAUAUGUAAAGAUGUUAUUAGUGAUUGUAAAAAAUGAAAAUAAAAGCACAGUUGGACUCAUA